UACGUAGGUGGCAAGCGUUGUCCGGAUUUACUGGGCGUAAAGAGCGCGCAGGCGGUCGUUCAAGUCGCGUGUGAAAGCCCCCGGCUCAACUGGGGAGGGUCACGCGAUACUGAUCGACUCGAAGGCAGGAGAGGGUAGUGGAAUUCCCGGUGUAGUGGUGAAAUGCGUAGAUAUCCGGAAGAACACCUGAGGCGAAGGCGGCUUGCUGGGCCUGAUCUGACGCUGAGGCGCGAAAGCGUGGGGAGCAAACAGG
rnacentral:rRNA from 1 species